rnacentral:rRNA from 1 species
GUAGGGUGGCAAGCGUUGUCCGGAAUUAUUGGGCGUAAAGCGCGCGCAGGCGGUUCUUUAAGUCUGAUGUGAAAGCCCACGGCUCAACCGUGGAGGGUCAUUGGAAACUGGAGAACUUGAGUACAGAAGAGGAAAGCGGAAUUCCACGUGUAGCGGUGAAAUGCGUAGAGAUGUGGAGGAACACCAGUGGCGAAGGCGGCUUUCUGGUCUGUAACUGACGCUGAGGCGCGAAAGCGUGGGGAGCAAACAGGGAUUAGAUACCCUGGUAGUCCACGCCGUAAACGAUGAGUGCUAAGUGUUAGGGGGUUUCCGCCCCCUUAGUGCUGCAGCUAACGCAUUAAGCACUCCGGCCUGGGGAUACGGCCGCAAGGCUG